UAAAAUGAGAGUUUGAUCCUGGCUCAGGACGAACGCUGGCGGCGUGCCUAAUACAUGCAAGUCGAACGAAACUUUCUUACACCGAAUGCUUGCAUUCACCGUAAGAAGUUGAGUGGCGGACGGGUGAGUAACACGUGGGUAACCUGCCUAAAAGAAGGGGAUAACACUUGGAAACAGGUGCUAAUACCGUAUAUCUCUAAGGAUCGCAUGAUCCUUAGAUGAAAGAUGGUUCUGCUAUCGCUUUUAGAUGGACCCGCGGCGUAUUAACUAGUUGGUGGGGUAACGGCCUACCAAGGUGAUGAUACGUAGCCGAACUGAGAGGUUGAUCGGCCACAUUGGGACUGAGACACGGCCCAAACUCCUACGGGAGGCAGCAGUAGGGAAUCUUCCACAAUGGACGCAAGUCUGAUGGAGCAACGCCGCGUGAGUGAAGAAGGUCUUCGGAUCGUAAAACUCUGUUGUUAGAGAAGAACACGAGUGAGAGUAACUGUUCAUUCGAUGACGGUAUCUAACCAGCAAGUCACGGCUAACUACGUGCCAGCAGCCGCGGUAAUACGUAGGUGGCAAGCGUUGUCCGGAUUUAUUGGGCGUAAAGGGAACGCAGGCGGUCUUUUAAGUCUGAUGUGAAAGCCUUCGGCUUAACCGGAGUAGUGCAUUGGAAACUGGAAGACUUGAGUGCAGAAGAGGAGAGUGGAACUCCAUGUGUAGCGGUGAAAUGCGUAGAUAUAUGGAAGAACACCAGUGGCGAAAGCGGCUCUCUGGUCUGUAACUGACGCUGAGGUUCGAAAGCGUGGGUAGCAAACAGGAUUAGAUACCCUGGUAGUCCACGCCGUAAACGAUGAAUGCUAGGUGUUGGAGGGUUUCCGCCCUUCAGUGCCGCAGCUAACGCAAUAAGCAUUCCGCCUGGGGAGUACGACCGCAAGGUUGAAACUCAAAGGAAUUGACGGGGGCCCGCACAAGCGGUGGAGCAUGUGGUUUAAUUCGAAGCAACGCGAAGAACCUUACCAGGUCUUGACAUCCUUUGACCACCUAAGAGAUUAGGCUUUCCCUUCGGGGACAAAGUGACAGGUGGUGCAUGGCUGUCGUCAGCUCGUGUCGUGAGAUGUUGGGUUAAGUCCCGCAACGAGCGCAACCCUUGUUGUCAGUUGCCAGCAUUAAGUUGGGCACUCUGGCGAGACUGCCGGUGACAAACCGGAGGAAGGUGGGGACAACGUCAAGUCAUCAUGCCCCUUAUGACCUGGGCUACACACGUGCUACAAUGGACGGUACAACGAGUCGCAAGACCGCGAGGUUUAGCUAAUCUCUUAAAGCCGUUCUCAGUUCGGAUUGUAGGCUGCAACUCGCCUACAUGAAGUCGGAAUCGCUAGUAAUCGCGAAUCAGCAUGUCGCGGUGAAUACGUUCCCGGGCCUUGUACACACCGCCCGUCACACCAUGAGAGUUUGUAACACCCAAAGCCGGUGGGGUAACCGCAAGGAGCCAGCCGUCUAAGGUGGGACAGAUGAUUGGGGUGAAGUCGUAACAAGGUAGCCGUAGGAGAACCUGCGGCUGGAUCACCUCCUUU
rnacentral:rRNA from 1 species